AAGUUCCGACGCGCACGAAUAGUGUAAUGACUGGAGAACUGUCUCGGGGAAUAGCUCGGUGAAAAUACAAUACCGGUGAAGAUGCCGGUUACCUGCAGUUAGACGAAAAGACCCCAGAAGCUUUACUGCAACUUGGUAUUGAGGAUACGUUUUUAAUGCGUAGCGUAGGUGGGAGGAUUUGAAGUUUACCUUUCGGGGUAGAUGGAUCCGACAGUGAAAUACCACUCUUUAAAAAUGUGUUUUCUAACUUCGUCGGAAAAAACGGCGAAAGACAGUAUCUGGUGGGCAGUUUUAGUGGGGCGCUAUCCUCCUAAAAAGUAACGGAGGAGUUUAUUAAGGUCAGCUAGGCGCGAAUGGAAACCGUGCCGAUAGUGUAAUGGCA
rnacentral:rRNA from 1 species